rnacentral:rRNA from 1 species
CAAUAGCGUAUAUUAAAGUUGUUGCAGUUAAAAAGCUCGUAGUUGAACCUUGGGCCUGGUUGGCCGGUCCGCCUCACCGCGUGUACUGGUCCGACCGGGUCUUUCCUUCUGGGGAGCCGCAUGCCCUUCACUGGGUGUGUCGGGGAACCAGGACUUUUACUUUGAAAAAAUUAGAGUGUUCAAAGCAGGCCUAUGCUCGAAUACAUUAGCAUGGAAUAAUAGAAUAGGACGUGUGGUUCUAUUUUGUUGGUUUCUAGGACCGCCGUAAUGAUUAAUAGGGACAGUCGGGGGCAUCAGUAUUCAAUUGUCAGAGGUGAAAUUCUUGGAUUUAUUGAAGACUAACUACUGCGAAAGCAUUUGCCAAGGAUGUUUUCAUUAAUCAGUGAACGAAAGUUAGGGGAUCGAAGACGAUCAGAUACCGUCGUAGUCUUAACCAUAAACUAUGCCGACAGGGGGAUCGG